GGGGCCGUCGUCUAGCUUGGAAGGAUGGGGUGCAGCCCCCGCCGAAUCCCGGGUUCAAAUCCCGGCGGCCCCACCA
rnacentral:tRNA from 1 species